GGUUUGUUAAAGUGUUUAGUGCUUACGGGCCACCGUAGUAAUUUAACUUGGGGUGUUUAUCUCUAAUCUGCAGCCGCGGUGUCCUCGGUGAAAGUGUGGUACGGCUGUUUGUCUUUUGAUGUCACUAAAGCACACUGUUCUGCUGAUGGAGACAACCUCCGCUUCAUCUGGACUGCUGAUUUAAACACAAUCACUCAGCUGGAGGAUGCAAACAGCACCUUGCUGCUGGAUCAAAACCAUCAUGGAAACAUCACCUGCCAUGUAGAAAACCAUGUCAGCCGUGACCGUAACACCAUUGAGCUCCACCCAUGUCCCGGUUUCAUGGUGUUUGUGUCUGUGUGGCUCUGUGAAGUCAUCAUCCUUCUGUCGCUGUUAGUGGGAGCGUUUUAUAUCUACACCAGAAUCUACAGGAAACAGAAAAUAACUGAGAAUCAGGAAGCUCUGUAAACCUAGAUUAGGAACAGAAGAAGCAGUCCACGAUUGCUCUCCUCCAUGCCAGCAACCCGUCCACCCUGAACCAGCAGAAAUGUAUAACCAUCAAUAACAGAUGGGUAACAGAGAAAACAAA